GAAGGGCCAUAGCUCAGUGGUAGAGCAUCUGCUUUGCAUGCAGAAGGUCUCAGGUUCGAAUCCCAGCACCUUCA